GCAUAAUAACCAUCAAAGGUUAGUCCAGGAGGAGUACACCGACAUCAACAAUGUAACUCCCAACGUAGCAACAAAUGGCCAGAAUGAAAAUGUUAAAGAUACUGAGAGCCUAGACAUAACAUGCAAGAACACCACUCAUCACCUGAGCACUCAACUGCAAAUGCAAAACUACCUUUAACUCUCACAAGCAAAAUAAUACAAUAGAAAACUGCAACUACAAUGAAAAACAAAUCCGCACAGCUAGCUUAUCGACUCCAAGAACCACGAAAGUUCUAGCAAGACCACCCAAGUCGACCAAACCAAUUGACUGUCCCCGUUAAUGUAUGGAUCCAGGAUAGAUCUAAGGAACACCCAAAUUUGCAAAAUAAAAGAAGAAAAAAAAACAACCAAGUCCAAGCCAAAGAACCCACCACACAGCUUCAGCCACUACUUCAAAUCGAACACUUGGUGGGCAUGAUACCCCACUGUCUCAGAUACCCAAAUCACCUUCCUCGUCUUCUUCCAUAGGAGGUUCACUUUUUUCUCUAUGUUCCACAAAGUAAUUGAAUAAUUAUUCUUAUUUCUUAUUGUUGUUUUCAUUCAAGUAAUAAUCAAGGUUCUGACGGGGUUUGGCAGUGGAUUGCCUUGAGGGGGAGGUCUCACAUAAAAGAAAAACAGAGAAGAGAUAGAAAGAAAAAUAGAAAAAUAGAAAGAAGUGAGAACCAGGCGUAGAAUGAUGAGAUUUUUUACGGAGCUUGGUAUUUAUAUCACCUACUCAAAGUCUUACACAAUACACCAUUUAAUGAAAUACUUCAAAAUUAAUAAAC
rnacentral:lncRNA from 1 species